AGAGGUACGCACCGUAAAUCGCGGAGAAAGAAGGAAAAUAUAUUAUUAUUAUGUGCAUGUUAAGGGGGAGAUUUAGUCUUGUGUAUUUAGGAGAAUAAAGAUAAUCAAAUAAGAAUUAACAUUUAAUAUGAAAUGAAUAAUUCUAAUCAGAUUAGAACAAGUAUUAAAAUAUCUCGUACCAACACAGUCUAAUUAAUAGUAGUAAUUUGCGCGGAUCGUAAAUGCUAACCAAUUAUCCUAAAAGUACGUAUUGAUAAGAAGAGCGCACUUAUCGUACUUAAGUGCUCAACCAUAUCGCUUCACCGGUUUCGACAUAACUCAACCCAUCUGGACAUUAGGUCUAUUGUUGAGUCUCUUACCACUAAAUUAUUCUGAAUCGCGUCCCACUCAACUUAUUAAUAUUAGAUUUAAUUUAACUCAACUUACUAGUUUCCUGAGUUUGUUAUCACGAGAUAAGAAGUUUAACCACUUUUAGCCAAUAAUAAAUAG
rnacentral:lncRNA from 1 species